GAUGAACGCUGGCGGCGUGCUUAACACAUGCAAGUCGAACGAAGCAUUUAGAACGGAUUACUUCGGUUUGAAGUUCUUUAUGACUGAGUGGCGGACGGGUGAGUAACGCGUGGGUAACCUGCCUUGUACUGGGGGAUAGCAGCUGGAAACGGCUGGUAAUACCGCAUAAGCGCACAAUGUUGCAUGACAUGGUGUGAAAAACUCCGGUGGUAUAAGAUGGACCCGCGUCUGAUUAGCUAGUUGGUGAGAUAACAGCCCACCAAGGCGACGAUCAGUAGCCGACCUGAGAGGGUGACCGGCCACAUUGGGACUGAGACACGGCCCAGACUCCUACGGGAGGCAGCAGUGGGGAAUAUUGCACAAUGGAGGAAACUCUGAUGCAGCGACGCCGCGUGAGUGAAGAAGUAAUUCGUUAUGUAAAGCUCUAUCAGCAGGGAAGAUAGUGACGGUACCUGACUAAGAAGCUCCGGCUAAAUACGUGCCAGCCGCCGCGGUAA
rnacentral:rRNA from 1 species